rnacentral:rRNA from 1 species
AACGAACGCUGGCGGCGUGCUUAACACAUGCAAGUCGAACGGUGAAAGUGGAGCUUGCUCCGCUGGAUCAGUGGCGAACGGGUGAGUAACACGUGGGCAACCUGCCCCAGACUUCGGGAUAACUCCUCGAAAGAGGUGCUAAUACCGGAUACGAAGCCCCCAGGCAUCUGGGGGCUUGGAAAGUUUUUCGGUCUGGGAUGGGCCCGCGGCCUAUCAGCUUGUUGGUGAGGUAACGGCUCACCAAGGCGACGACGGGUAGCCGGCCUGAGAGGGCGACCGGCCACACUGGGACUGAGACACGGCCCAGACUCCUACGGGAGGCAGCAGUGGGGAAUAUUGGACAAUGGGGGCAACCCUGAUCCAGCCAUGCCGCGUGAGUGAUGAAGGCCUUAGGGUUGUAGAGCUCUUUUACCCGGGACGAUAAUGACUGUACCGGGAGAAUAAGCCCCGGCUAACUUCGUGCCAGCAGCCGCAGUAA